GUAGUCCACGCCGUAAACUAUGGACGCUAGCUGUAAGAAGUAUCGACCCUUCUUGUAGCGAAGCUAACGCGUUAAGCGUCCCGCCUGUGGAGUACGGUCGCAAGACUAAAACAUAAAGGAAUUGACGGGGACCCGCACAAGCGGUGGAGCGUGUUGUUUAAUUCGAUGGUAAGCGAAGAACCUUACCCAGGCUUGACAUCCUUGGAAUUUCUCCGAAAGGAGAAAGUGUCUUCGGAAGCCAAGUGACAGGUGUUGCAUGGCCGUCGUCAGCUCGUGUCGUGAGAUGUUAGGUUAAGUCCUUCAACGAGCGCAACCCCUUUGUUUAGUUGUAUUUUUCUAAACAGACUGCCCUGGCAACAGGGA
rnacentral:rRNA from 1 species